UAGCUCAGUUGGUAAAGAAUCUGCCUGCAAUGCAGAAGACCCAGGUUUGAUUCCUGG
rnacentral:tRNA from 1 species